GGUAUGAUAUCGCCGCCAGCCCGCGCUCCGACCUCACUGAAGCGGGCGGCCUGUGUCGGUCUGACACAGUACAUAUUCAUAACCGGGUUUUU
ncrna:Pantoea agglomerans Peptidase-S11 RNA